rnacentral:rRNA from 1 species
UACAGGGGUGCAAACGUUGCUCGGAAUCAUUGGGCGUAAAGCGCACGUAGGCGGUUCGUUAUGUCGGAUGUGAAAGCCCUUGGCUUAACCGAGGAAGUGCAUCCGAAACUGGCGAGCUAGAGUACUAAAGAGGAUCGCGGAAUUCCCGGUGUAGAGGUGAAAUUCGUAGAUAUCGGGAGGAACACCGGUGGCGAAGGCGGCGAUCUGGGUAGAUACUGACGCUGAGGUGCGAAAGCGUGGGAGCAACAGG